UACGUAGGGGGCUAGCGUUGUCCGGAAUCAUUGGGCGUAAAGCGCGUGUAGGCGGUCCGGUAAGUCCGCUGUGAAAGUCGGGGGCUCAACCCUCGAAUGCCGGUGGAUACUGUCGGGCUAGAGUCCGGAAGAGGAGAGUGGAAUUCCUGGUGUAGCGGUGAAAUGCGCAGAUAUCAGGAAGAACACCCGUGGCGAAGGCGGCUCUCUGGGACGGUACUGACGCUGAGACGCGAAAGCGUGGGGAGCGAACAGG
rnacentral:rRNA from 1 species